GUAGCCCCCUAUGAUGUUAUCCCAGUGCUUGACACUGGGAUCCAGGUUGCUCACAAGCAAACUAGCGUAGAAAGUGGUUACAACGUUUCCGAUGAGAUUGCAAAAAGGCUGGAUCCCAGUGUCAAGCACUGGGAUGACAGCAGUCCUACAUC
rnacentral:ncRNA from 1 species